CCCUGAUUCACCACCGGAAUAACACCGUCCUUACGCGGUUAGGGUUCCGCCGGAGAACGCCGCGAAGUAAACGGAGACCGCGUCGGAAACCGAUUGCCAUCGGCAUUCACACGCUUAUUAUUGGUCGAGUAUCUGUGUUCAUCCAUGUUUUGGAUGAAUCGGUGAUUUUGUUUUUUUGAAGCGAGAAUUAAGGCUCAUGAGCUGCGAGACAAGUCGAAGAACGGAGCUUCUGAACCAGCAGACGGACCUUAAGGCAGAGCUCGCCCUCCUCCGUGUCACAAAGUUCAUCGGAGGCGCUCCGAACAAGCUCUCCAAGAUGAAAUCGAUAGCUCGGUUGUUGACUGACGGUGAUCCUCCAGACCAGAAGUAGAAAGAAGCUCUAGGGAAGCAUACAAGAACGAGAAGUACGUGCCUCUUGAUCUCCGUCCCAUGAAAACCCGAGCAAUUCGUCGACGUCUCAUCAAUCACCAGGCAUCAGUGAAGACAGAACGUGAGAAGAAGAAGGAGAUGUACUUUCCCAUCAGGAAGUAUGCCGGGUCGGGACUGUGGACAAUAGCUAAGAGUAUACAGUAGCAGACGAGCAAUCCAUUACAGUGGAAAGCAUGCCAGAAAAAGGAAGAAAGACAAGCCAUUUCAUGACAAGUAAGUAAUCCAAGAACCCAUCCUCUGUUCUGAUAACGAAAGGUUAUCUUUUGUCAUUGUCUCUAUGCCCAUUUACCCCGAAAUCGCUGGGGUCACACCAGAGGUCCAACCACUUGUGUCUUAUUUACACAUUGCCAUCUUAACAUAGGAUCCCAUCCUUAGUGCAUAGCAUCUGCUCAUAGAAUGUCACUUGCACAUAAUCUGAGUUUAGGUUCAUGUUUUGUGCAUUAGUAAUAGUACCGACUUAUGUUACGUUCUUUUCAACAUUUUUUCCUGAAUUUGGCCGCAUUACGGAUGGCAGUAUUAGGUUUUGCAUAAUAUCGUGGUACAAUCAUUGUCUUUUUGUUGUGAAUUGUGAAACAAUCCAAUGGUUAAGCUUAUCCAAAAUCUGAAACCCAAACAUUUGGUUGUUAUGUGACUACAAGAAAAGUGCUUAGAGACGUUUCGAGAUACCAUUGUUUCCAUAUUUAUGAUAAACAUCAGUGUCUAAAUCUAGGGGUGUGGUGUCCAUUUAGGGUUUCAAUUAUCUGCUUCAUUUGGGUUUUUUUAUAAAGCUAUACCCAUUUGGGGUUUAUGCCAAAUAUUUUUUGGUUCGGUUUUGUAAACAUUCUGUUUGCUCGAGUUGUAUGUAUCUUGUCCGCGUCUGAGUUUUUCUCUGUUUUUUAUAUCAUAACAAAAUUCAUAAUAGAUUAAUGUCAUUAAAAUAAUAAUUAUGAUGAUAAAUUGAUAUUGUAAAAAUAUUUUGAGUUAAGAGUAAAAAUGGAUGAAUU